ensembl:snoRNA
GGAUCGAUGAAGAGAACACUUCCCUGAGGACGCUGAGGGACUCGUUUCAGAUGUCAAUCUGAGGUCC